GAUGAACGCUGGCGGCGUGCCUAAUACAUGCGAGUCGAGCGAACGGACGAGAAGCUUGCUUCACUGAUGUUAGCGGCGGACGGGUGAGUAACACGUGGAUAACCUACCUAUAAGACUGGGAUAACUUCGGGAAACCGGAGCUAAUACCGGAUAAUAUUUUGAACCGCAUGGUUCAAAAGUGAAAGACGGUCUUGCUGUCACUUAUAGAUGGAUCCGCGCUGCAUUAGCUAGUUGGUAAGGUAACGGCUUACCAAGGCAACGAUGCAUAGCCGACCUGAGAGGGUGAUCGGCCACACUGGAACUGAGACACGGUCCAGACUCCUACGGGAGGCAGCAGUAGGGAAUCUUCCGCAAUGGGCGAAAGCCUGACGGAGCAACGCCGCGUGAGUGAUGAAGGUCUUCGGAUCGUAAAACUCUGUUAUUAGGGAAGAACAUAUGUGUAAGUAACUGUGCACAUCUUGACGGUACCUAAUCAGAAAGCCACGGCUAACUACGUG
rnacentral:rRNA from 1 species